rnacentral:rRNA from 1 species
GAAUUGACGGGGGCCCGCACNAGCGGUGGAGCAUGUGGUUUAAUUNGAAGCAACGCGAAGAACCUUACCAGGUCUUGACAUCCUCUGACAACCCUAGAGAUAGGGCUUUCCCUUCGGGGACAGAGUGACAGGUGGUGCAUGGUUGUCGUCAGCUCGUGUCGUGAGAUGUUGGGUUAAGUCCCGCAACGAGCGCAACCCUUGAUCUUAGUUGCCAGCAUUCAGUUGGGCACUCUAAGGUGACUGCCGGUGACAAACCGGAGGAAGGUGGGGAUGACGUCAAAUCAUCAUGCCCCUUAUGACCUGGGCUACACACGUGCUACAAUGGACAGAACAAAGGGCUGCGAGACCGCAAGGUUUAGCCAAUCCCACAAAUCUGUUCUCAGUUCGGAUCGCAGUCUGCAACUCGACUGCGUGAAGCUGGAAUCGCUAGUAAUCGCGGAUCAGCAUGCCGCGGUGAAUACGUUCCCGGGCCUUGUACACACCGCCCGUCACACCACGAGAGUUUGCAACACCCGA